rnacentral:rRNA from 1 species
UUCCGGUUGAUCCUGCCGGAGGCUACCGCUAUUGGAGUUCGAUUAAGCCAUGCGAGUCGCGAGUCCUAGGGACUCGGCGUACCGCUCAGUAACACGUGGGUAACCUGCCCUAUGCUGGGGGAUAACCUCGGGAAACUGAGAAUAAUACCCCAUAGUUCACCACGCCUGGAACGGUGGGUGGAUGAAAGCUCCGGCGGCAUAGGAUGGGCCUGCGGCGUAUCAGGUUGUAGGGGGUGUAAUGUACCCUCUAGCCAUCUACGCGUACGGGUGUUGGGAGACAUCGCCCGGAGAUGGAUUCUGAGACACGAAUCCAGACCCUACGGGGUGCAGCAGGCGCGAAAACUUGGCAAUGCGAGCAAUCGUGACCAGGGAACUCCAAGUGCAUCGGGUAAGACCGAUGCUUUUCUUGACUCUUCAAAGGUCUUGGAAUAAGGGGUGGGUAAGGACGGUGCCAGCCGCCGCGGUAAUACCGGCGCCUCAAGUGGUAGUCGCUUUUAUUGGGCCUAAAACGUCCGUAGCCGGUUUGGUACAUUCGUGGGUAAAUCAAGGCGCUCAACGUCUUGAAUUCUGCGAGCACGGCCAGACUUGGGACCGGGUGAGGUGUGGGGUACUCUCAGGGUAGGGGUAAAAUCCUGUCAUCCUGAGAGGACCACCUGUUGCGAAGGCGCCACACUAGAACGGAUCCGACGGUCAGGGACGAAGCCUAGGGGCACGAACCGGAUUAGAUACCCGGGUAGUCCUAGGUGUAAACGCUGUGGACUUGAUGUUGGGAGUGCUCCGAGCACCCUCAGUGUCGAAGCGAAGGUGAUAAGUCCACUGCCUGGGGAGUACGGUCGCAAGGCUGAAACUUAAAGGAAUUGGCGGGGGAGCACUGCAACCUGAGGAUUGUGCGGUUUAAUUGGAUUCAACGCCGGA